rnacentral:rRNA from 1 species
GUCAGACUGCGACUAAUAAGGGCCGCAGUCAAAAGGGAAACAGCCCAGACCAUCAGCUAAGGUCCCCAAUGCCGUGCUAAGUGGCGAAGGAUGUGGCAUUUCAUAAACAACCAGGAUGUUGGCUCAGAAGCAGCCACCAUUUAAAGAGUGCGUAAUAGCUCACUGGUCGAGAGACGCUGCGCCGAAAAUGUCCGGGGCUCAAGCACGGAACCGAAGCUAUGGCAUGAUAGCAAUAUCAUGGGUAGGGGAGCGUUCUUAUAAGGAAGAAGCAUGACCGGAAGGACAUGUGGACGAAUAAGAAGUGAGAAUGCCGGUAUGAGUAUCGAAAAGAAAGGUGAGAAUCCUUUCCACCGAAAGCCCGAGGGUUCCUGAGCAACGAUCGUCGACUCAGGGUAAGUCGGGACCUAAGCCGAGGCGGAAAGCGUAGGCGAUGGACAACAGGUUGAAAUUCCUGUACCGGAUCAAGUCGAUUGAGCGAAGGAGCGACGCAGGAGGGCACAUGAUCGCGCGGCUGGAAGAGCGCGUCCAAGUGCGUAUGUUGCCGCAGAGGAAAACCCCUGCGGCUAAAAGCAGAGACAUGAUGGGGAGUUAAAGGAAACUUUGACGAACUCAUGAAUCCCACACUGCCAAGAAAAACUUCUAGCGAGACAAGAUCCGCCCGUACCGUAAACCGACACAGGUAGGCGGGGAGAGAAUCCUAAGGUGCGCGGGAAAACCCUCGUUAAGGAACUCGGCAAAUUGCAUCCGUAACCUAGGGAGAAGGAUGGCCCCCGGUCAGUGAAGAGCAGAAACGCUCAGAGCUAAAAGGGGCGGCAGAAAAGAGGCCCAAGCAACUGUUUACCAAAAACACAGGUGCCUGCGAAAGCGAAAGCUGAAGUAUAGGUGCUGACGCCUGCCCGGUGCCGGAAGGUUAAGGAGAGAAGUUAGCGAAAGCGAAGCAUCGAACUGAAGCCCCGGUGAACGGCGGCCGUAACUAUAACGGUCCUAAGGUAGCGAAAUUCCUUGUCGGGUAAGUUCCGACCCGCAUGAAAGGCGUAAUGAUUUGGGCACUGUCUCAACGAGGGGCCCGGUGAAAUUGAAAUACCUGUGAAGAUGCAGGUUACCCGCGACUGGACAGAAAGACCCCAUGGAGCUUCACUGCAGCUUGAGAUUGAAUCCCGGUGACAGAUGCACAGGAUAGGUGGGAGGCGCCGAAGCAUUGCCUUAGGGCGGUGCGGAGCCGAUGUUGGGAUACCACCCUUCUGUUGCUGAGAUUCUAACGCGAGGAGUAACGACCCUGCGGACCCUCUCAGGCAGGCGGUUUGACUGGGGCGGUCGCCUCCGAAAGAGUAACGGAGGCGCCCAAAGGUUCCCUCAGGCCGGACAGAAACCGGCCGAAGAGUGCAAAGGCAGAAGGGAGCUUGACUGCGAGACCA